CACGGGGGGAGCAAGCGUUGUUCGGAUUCAUUGGGCGUAAAGGGCUCGUAGGUGGCUUUGUAAGUCGGAGGUGAAAUCCCACGGCUCAACCGUGGACACGCCUUCGAAACUGUGAAGCUUGAGGCUGGGAGAGGAAAUCGGAAUUCCUGGUGUAGCGGUGAAAUGCGUAGAUAUCGUGAGGAACACCAGAGGCGAAGGCGGCAUCCUGGACCGGCAUUGACGCUGAGGCGCGAAAGCCAGGGGAGCAAACGGG
rnacentral:rRNA from 1 species